rnacentral:pre_miRNA from 1 species
UAAAAGUUAACUCAAAUGGAAUUGGAACGUUUGUUUACGUUUGCCGCUAGAGGCGCUGUUCCAACUGCAUACAAAUUUCAGUUA